GCGCUUGAGGAUGAGCCUACGUCGGAUUAGCUAGUUGGUGGGGUAAAGGCCUACCAAGGCGACGAUCCGUAGCUGGUCUGAGAGGAUGACCAGCCACACUGGGACUGAGACACGGCCCAG
rnacentral:rRNA from 1 species